rnacentral:rRNA from 1 species
UACGUAGGGUGCAAGCGUUGUCCGGAAUUAUUGGGCGUAAAGAGCUCGUAGGCGGCUUGUCGCGUCGGAUGUGAAAGCCCGGGGCUAACUCCGGGUCUGCAUUCGAUACGGGCAGGCUAGAGUGUGGUAGGGGAGAUCGGAAUUCCUGGUGUAGCGGUGAAAUGCGCAGAUAUCAGGAGGAACACCGGUGGCGAAGGCGGAUCUCUGGGCCAUUACUGACGCUGAGGAGCGAAAGCGUGGGGAGCGAACAGG